AACCGCCCUGCGACCCCGCUGAGAACGCACACAUGUCCCACGGCGCUGAGCUGCCUGCUGGAUGGGAACCGCCCUCCCACGGGAGUGGGGUCACCGAGACGACUAUGCCGGGACACGCAGGGACAAGCCAAAUGGGGAUGGUACGAAAUGGAUCGGCGUGAAAACUCCGAGAAUCACCUGGAGCUCAUCGGGCUGAUCAAUACCUUGUCUGAUCUAGAUGGGUUUGAUCGCCGCCAGCGGCUGGAGCGCCGAAGCACCGGGGAUGCUGACGCACAGCUUACCCAGACAAGUGAAAAGAAUAAAAUUUUAUACCAGAAAAAGUGAAAAUAUUUCCACCAAGAUCUGAAGGCUCUAAGGAGGAGACCUAAUAAAAAUGGAGAAAACACACAUGAAAUUGAUUUUUAAAAACAGAGUCUCUCUGUUGCCCAGGCUGGAGUGCAGUGGCACAAUCUCAGCUCACCACAAUCUCCACCUCCCGGGUUCAAGUGAUUCUCCUGCCUCAGCCUCCUGUGUUGCUGGGACUACAAGCAUGCACCACCACACCUGGCUAACUUCUGUAUUUUUGGUAGAGACAUGGUCUCGCCAUGUUGCCUAGGCUGGUCUCGAACUCCUGGCCUCAAGUGAUCUGCCUGCCUUAGACUCCCAAAGUGCUGUGAUUACAGGCGUGAGCCACCACGAGUGGCUGAGGGAAUAAGACAUGGACACAUUUGAGAGGCCAUUUCUUCUGCUCACCACUAGGCCACAGGAAAUCAAAGUGGAUGCUAAUGGAGGAACCCAUUGUCACCCACUGAGUUAAUAUGAAGAGUAUUUUAAACUAAAACAUUUAAGAUACAGCAGAUACAGAAAGAAGCCUUUCUGGAACUUCCCUUAAUUUGACUAAAGGCAGAGAUUUCAGAGAGUGAAGCUGCCAUAAAUUCCCUCUUGGGGAGCUUCACUGCCAAUAAGGAGACUUCACUGCCAGGAAGAAAGCUCCACUGCCGGAAGGAGACCACUUCCACCAGAAUGCAAACUGCAUAACCGAACAAUCACAAAUUGCCUUGUCUUCAUCUGUUUCCCUAAAAGCCCAUUUGUCUUUCCUUUUAUGGAAAGGAAAGCGUAUUUGUUUUCCCAUAGAUCCCUUUCUCUCCUCCUCCCUUUUCCCAUAUUGUUGGCAUAUAAACUCCUAUCUCUAACUGUACAGAGAGCCUCUUCACCUGAAUAAGUAUAAAUAAACUUCGUAUGUUCUGUUAAUCCAUCUAUUACCAAUUAACUUACAGGCCCCCAAGCACUGGACCUAAGUGGGCAGAGGAAGAGUUUCCUCCCAACGCUGAUAUGAGACAUAGAAACUGUACAGCAACACCAAGGCCCCUACAAUGGGACUCUAUAAACAGUGGUUUGAAAGCUGCAAAUGGGCGUGGCUUUCUCAUUUACAAAUAUAUGAAGGUAAAGGGUUAGAUAAAUUCUAGGGUAUGGUUUUGCUGGGUGGGUAAGGCAACACAGAGAUGAAGCAAAUGAGUUGUAUGAGUGAAGUCAUUCAUCAUCAUAGGAAAGCGAAGUACACGGAGGGGUCACAUGGAGAUGGCAAGAGCUGAAACAGGAGGAUCAGGUCACUGAGUGGGAUACUGGCAUUUAAUAUUCACAUUACAGGUUUUGAUAAGGUCCCACGGUUUGAACACAAGAGUGAGGUUAUGGAAGUGGAAGGGAAGUGUAUUUGGUGUAUUUGUUUUCUGUUGCUUGAGUAACAAAUUACCAUCAAGUUAGUGUCUUAAAACAAUACCCAUGUAUUAUCUCCCAGUUAUUGAGGUCAGAAGUCUAGGUUAGGUUAGGCUUUGCUCAGGGUAUCAAUAGGCCAAGUAAAAGUGUCAGCCAGCUGAACUCUUAGCUGGAGGCCUUCAGUAAAGAACCAAGCCGAGUCAGGUUGUUGGCAGAAUCUAUUUCCUUUUGGUUCCAGGACUGAGUUUCCUGUGUCCUUGCUGAAUGUCAACCAGGGGCACCCUCAGCUCCUCCAGACUACCUGCAUUUCUUCCCAGGUGGCCUCUCCACUUUCAAAACAGUUUGGGUCCUUCUCAAACUUUGAAUCCAACUGUCCCUUCUGCAUUUUCUUUUCUUUUUUUUUUUUUUCUUUUGAGAUGGAGUCUUGCUUUGUUGCCCAGGCUGGAGUACAGUGGUGCAAUCUUGGCUCAUUGCAACCUUCACCUCCCAGGCUCAAGUGAUUCUCCUGCCUCAGCCUCUCGAGUAGCUGGGACUACAGAUGUGCACCAACAUGCCUGGCUAAUUUUUGUAUUUUUAGUAGAGAUGGGGUUUCACCAUAUUUCCCAAGCUAGUCUUGAACUCAUGACCUCAGGUGAUUCACCCACCUCAGCCUCCCAAAGUGCUGGGAUUACAGAUGUGAGCCACUAUGCCCAGCCUCCUUCUGCCUUUUAAAGGACUUAUGUGAUAAAAUAAGGGCCGCCUUUACAAUCUCAGUAUUUUAGAGUCAACUGACUUAAGGCUUUAGUUAUAACGUCAAAAUCCUUCAGAUCAGAACCUAGAUUACUGUUUGAUGAAAUAACUAGGAAAUGAACUGGAAAGAGGGUUAGGGAAGAGGCAGAUCUUUAGAAUUCUGCCUGUCCUGGAGGUGGAGUUGAAAUCAGAGAGCACAGAAGCUAGGGUAAUGGGAUGAUCACCAAAAUAAGCACAGAUGUUACCAAGACAGUAAUAAUCCGAGAUUAUUAUUAUUAUUGUCAGAAAACAGGUGUCAAAGUAUUUUAGACAUGGAAAGUGAACAGAAGGUGAGUAUAUGAUGGCAUUUACACAGAGAGGGACAGCAUGGGAGAGGGGGCAGGGGAUUGGGGUAGUGAGAGCCCAGAUGCUGGAGACAGAACACCUUGGUUCAUAUAAUUUGCUUUAUACAGCAGACAAGUGACCAAUUAAGAAUUAAUUCAUUUGGUUAUAAAGUUCAUUUGGGGCUGGGCACAGUGGCUGACACCUGUAAUCCCAGUACUUUGGGAGGCCAAGGCAGGCGGGUCAUGAGGUCAAGAGGUCGAGUCCAGCCUAGCCAAUAAGGUGAAACCCCGUCUCUCCUAAAAAUACAAAAAACAGCUGGGCAUGGUGGCACACACCUGUAGUCCUAGCUACUUGGGAGGCUGAGGCAGGAGUAUUCCUUGAACCUCAGAGGCGGAGGUUGCAGUGAGCCAAGAUCACGCCACUGCACUCCAGCCUGGCAACAGAGCAAAACUCCAUCUCAAAAAAAAAAAAGAAAUUUCAUUUGGUUAUAAAGUUUAUUUAGUUAUAAAUAAACCCCUAAAAAUUAGACUGCAGUGAACAAAAAUGUAGGUAUUGAUAAUUAACCUGCUGAGUCAGAUAGUAUAGUAGAGCGUUUAACAGUUGUCUCUGCAAAUUAGGCUGAAAGGUUAAAUGUUGAGUUCACCAAACUACAUUUCAGUACCUAUAAAAGUCUUUUGUUUAAACUUUGGAGGGCAGUAUAACAUACACACCAAAAAAGUACAGAAAAUCUGAGUAGACAGCUUGAUACGUAUUUACAAAGUGAACACACCGGUAUAUCUAUCACCUGGAUUAAAAAAUAAAGAGAGUGCUAGCAAUGCCACAGAGGCCUCCUUCAAGCUCCAUCCCUUCCAAAGGUAACAACGAUUCUGAUUCUAUCAUUAUAUAUUAGUUGUGUCUGUUUAAAACUGUAUAUAAAUGAAGUAGUUUUUUUUUUUUUUUUUUUUGAGACAGGGUCGCACUCUGUCAUCCAGGCCAGAGUGCGAUGACACAAUCUCAGUUCAGUGCAGCCAUGGCCUCCUGGUUAAAAGCAAUUCUCCUGCCUCUGCCUCCUGAGUAGCUGUGAUUACAAGCCUGCACCACCAAGCCUGGCUAAGUUUGUAUUUUCAGUAGAGAUGGGGUUUCACCAUGUUGACCAGGCUGGUCUAGAACUGACCUCAAAUGAUCCGCCCACCUCGGCCUCUCAAAGUGCUGGGAUUACAGGCGUGAGCCAUCAUGCCCAACCAAGCAAGUAGUUACCCUUUUGAGACUGGCUUCUUUUCUUGAAUAUUAUCUGCAUGGAAUUCAUAUAUUUUGCAUGCGAUGUCAUAAAGGCUUAUUCACUCUUUAUGUAGGAUUUCAUUGUAUGAAUACAAUGUCAUUUAUCUAUCUACUCUUGAUGGGCCUUUGGGUCCUUUCCAGUUUUGCAAUACACCCUAAAGUGUCCAAUUGGAAAAGAGUUCUAAUGGUCAGUUAAACCCAUCAUCCACAAGUAUUGCUAAAUGGAGGCCCAAAAUGUGAAACUAUUUUCUCCCUUUGAUUCUGCUCCAAACAGCACAAACAAAACAAAAAAUAGCAAGAGGAUUAAUAUUGUAGAAGAAAGCAAAUAAGUAAAUGAUGGUUCCAUUUCUCCCUCAAACAGAUGUUAUCCAACCCCUCAUUAAGCAAUGUUUUAUUGAGGCCUACCUUACAUUAGGGCCCAUGAUUGGCAUUGAAGAGAAACAAGACACAGGUCCAGGCAAGGUGGCUCACGCCUGUAAUCCCAGCACUUUGGGAGGCCAAGAUGGGUGGAUCGCCUGAGGUCAGGAGUUCAAGACCAGCCUGGCCAACAUGGCGAAACCCUGUCUCUACUAAAAUACAAAAAUUAGCUUGGCAUGGUGGCAUGCACAUGUAAUUCCAGCUAGUUGGGAAGCGGAGGCAGAAGAAUCGCUUGAACCUGGGAGGCAGAGGUUGCAGUGAGCUGAGAUCAUACCACUGCACUCCAGCCUGAGUAGCAGAGUGAAACUCUGUCUGCCCCCACACAAAAAAACCUGCAUUUUAAAACUUUUUUCUUUCCUCCUUUCUUGCCAGUCUCAAGAUGCAGCUUUGAGACAAACCACAGAUAUGUUUCUGUCAUCUUAAAAUAUGCCUUAGAAUAUUCUUUAACAAUCUAUUCCCUUCCCUUUCCCACCUUAUGCUUCCAUGCCUAAUGCACAUUUAUUUACCUGGAUGCUUGUUAAACUCACACCAUACUCAGUUAUCUGGUCAUAUAUUUCCUUAGAGGCUUCAGGGAACUAAUCCUACACAAAACAGGCGCUUCUGGGAUUCUCUCCCCAGCAGGAGAUUACUUACAGGCCAGAGUUCACUCCCAGCUAGAUACUGACUGCAAGACUGAUUGGGAUUGAUUUGUAACUUGGCUGAACCCACCAAGGUGCUGGCCUUUUCACCAAAUGGAACAAUAAUUCAAAAUAAGCCAUUGGGGCAAGCCAUACCACCUGGCAUCUGCUAGCUCCCUUGCCUCUCCUGCAUUCAAAGCCCCUCUUUUGAAACCCCUGCCCUCUCUCCAGAAAUUGGAAAGUGGAAAUUUUGGAAAAGUAUUCUGACCACUUUCCCCUUGCUGGCAAUGGAUAAUAAAAUUUGCUCUUUAUCAUACCUCGCUCUUGUUAUUUUUUCUUCAUUCCACAGGCAGCGAGCAACCGGUUUCUCUUUCAGUCAUAAAUGUAAUGUUUUAGAAGUUUCAUCUGAUCAACCUAAAUGCCCAUAAUUAGCAGAUGGGAUAAAAUGCACUGGUGUAUAUGUACACACCAUGAGGGUGUAAGACAUACAUACCAUGAAAUACUAUACAACCAUAAAAAAGAACGAGAACAUGUCUUGCAGGAACAUAGAUAGAGCUGGAGACUAUUAUCCUUAGUAAAGUAACACAGGAACAGAAAACUAAACAUCACAUGUUGUUACCUAUAAGUGGGAGCUAAAUGAUGAGAACUUGUGAACACAAAGAAGGAAACAACAGACACUGGCGUCUACUUGAGGGUGGAGGUUGGAAAAGGGAGAGAUGCAGAAGAAGUAACUUGGGUACUAGGCUUAAUACCUGGUUGAUGAAAUAACCUGUACCACAAGCCCUUGUGACACAAGUUUAUUUAUACAACAAACUUUCACAUGUACCCUUGAACCUAAAGUAGAAGUUAAAAAAAAGAUUAAUCUGUUCCUGUAUAGAAUGGAUGGGGGAUGUGGGAAGGCAGAGAUCAGUCUGGAAAUUUUUAAAAAAAUGAUUGAACUAAACAGAUGACUUAAAUUGAGGAAAGGGGCAUCAAAGAAACACUUUAAAUGAAGAAUUUACAGAAGCUGGUGACUGAUAGAACAUCAAAGGUAAAAGACAAAGAAGCUAGAGCUGACUUCAAGGUCUGAAAUUCUUGGGGUUUCAUAAAUGGAAAUUAUGAGGUAUAGGAAAGUGUGCCUUACACUUCAGUGUAUUUCCAUAUAUUACCUAGUUCAGUGCCUUGAACACAAGCAAUACUCAAUAAACAUGUGCUUUCUGAACAAUAAAAGUGAGCUUAUCUUAUGUGAUUCAGGAACCUAUUUACCCUUACCUGAGUCUCCCUUGCUUGAAAAUGGAGAGGAGUUUCAUGAAAGACUGACCUUUCAUAUAAUCCAUCUCUGACGACUAUAAACAUUUUAUUGCCUAUAGAGAUAAGAUUUUAUUUGUGGGAGCAACUAAAGUUAAAGCACAAUAAGCAUUAAAUAAACUUAUGAUUCAUUGUACAGUGACUUGGAAUUUUUUCACAUCUGGUUGACAUACUUAAUAUAUGAUGUCAACAUCUCACCUAGAACUACAUUUUAGUCUUCCCUAUGUCAUCAUAAUAUUAGACCAAGAAACACAUUAUACUAUGUGUAACAAGGCCAUCAGCCAAUCUAUUUUUUUAAUUCUUAAUUUUAAUUUUUGUGAGUACAUAGUAGGUAUAUAUAUUUAUGUAUACAUGAGACAAUGUAUAGUAAUCACAUCAUGUAAAAUGGGGUGUCUGUCUCCUCAAGAUUUUAUUGUGUUAUGACAAUCCAGUUAUACUCAUUUUGUUAUUGUACAAUUAAAUUAUUAUUGGCUGGGCAAGAUGGCUCACACUUGCAAUCCCAGCACUUUGGGAGGCCAAGGCGGGUGGAUCACCUGAGGUCAGGAGUAUGAGACCAGCCUGACCAACAUGGUGAAACCCCAUCUCUACUAAAAAUACAAAAAAUUAGCCAGGCGUGGUGGCAGGUGCCUGUAAUCCCAGCUACUCAGGAGGCUGAGGCCUGAGAAUCACUUGAACCUGGAAGGUGGAGGUUGCAGUGAGCCAAGAUGGCACCACUGCACUCCAGCCUGGGGAAUAGAGCAAGACUCUGUCUUGAAAAAAAAAAAAAAAAAAAAAAUUAUUGACUAUAGUAAUUCUGUUGUGCUCUCAAAUGCUAGGUCUUAUUCAUUCUAUUUUUGUUGUACCCAUUAACCAUCCCACCUCCUUCUCACCCUGCAGUAUGCUUCCCAGACUCUGGUAACCAUCCCCCUACUCUCUAUCUCCAUUUCAAUUGUUUUGAUUUUUAGAUUCCACAAAUGAGAACAUGCAAUGUUUGCCUUUCUCUGCCUGGCUUAUUUCACAUAGCAUAAUGACUUCCAGUUCCAGCCAUGUUGCUGCAAAUAACAGGAUCUCAUUCUUUUAUAUGGCUAUAGUACUCCAUUAUGUAUAUGUACCACAUUUUCUUUAUCCAUUCAUCUGCUGACAAACAUUCAGGUUGAUUCCAAAUGUGAGCUAUUGUGAAUCAUGCUACAACAAACAUGGGAGUGCAGAUAUCCCUUUGAUAUAAUGAUUGUCUUUCUUUGGGGUAUAUACCAAGGAGCAGGACUGCUGGGUCGUAUGGUAGCUCUAUUUUUAGUGUGUUGAGGAGCCUCAAAAAUGUUCUCCAUACUGGUUGUACUAAUUUACAUUCUCACCAACAGUGAAUAGAAUUUACUUUUCUCCACAUCCUUGCCAGCAUCUGCUAUUAUCUUUUGGAUAAAAGCCAUUUUAACUGAGGUGAGACGAUAUUUUACUGUAGUUUUGAUUUGCACUUCUCUCAUGAUCAGUGAUGUUGAGCACUUUUUCAUAUGCCUAUUUACCAUUUUGUGUUGUGUUUUGAUAAAUGCCUAUUCAAACCUUUAGUCCAUUUUAAAAUCAGAUCAUUAGAUUUUUUUUUCCUCUAGAGUUGUUUGAGCUCCAUAUAUAUUCUGGAUAGUAAUCCCUUGUCAGAUGGGUAGUUUGCAAAUAUUUUCUCCUUCUCUGUGGGAUGUCUCUUUCCACUGUUGUUUUGUUUGCUGUGCAGAAGCUUUGUAACUUGAUGUGAUUCCAUUUGUCCAUUUUUGCUUUGAUUGUCUGCUCAUGGGGUAUCACUCAGGAAAUUUUUGCUGAGAUCAAUCCAUGGAGAGUUUCCCCAGUGUUUUCUUAGAGUAGUUUCAUAAUUUGAGGUCUUAGAUUUAACUUAGAUUUUUAAAUCUGUUUUGAUUUGAAUUUUGUACAUGGCAAAAGAUAGGGGUCUAGUUUCAUUUUUCUGCAUAUGGAUAUCCAGUUUUCCCAGCACCGUUUGUUGAAGAGGUGGUCUUUUCCCCAGCAUAUGUUCUUGGCACCUUUGUCAAAAGUGAGUUCACUGUAGGUGUGUGGAUUUGCUUCUGGAUUCUUUAUUCUGUUCCAUUUGUCUGUAUGUCUGUUUUUAUCUCACUACCAUUCUAUUGGUUACUAUAGCUCUCUGGUAAAAUCAGAAGUCAGGUAAUGUCAUGUCCUCAAGUUUUGUUCUUUUUGCUAAGGACAGCUUUGGCUAUUCUGGGUCUUUUGUGAUUCCAUAUAAAUUUUAGGAUUGUUUUUUCUAUUCUAAUGAAGAAUGUCAUUGAUAUUUUGAUAGAGAUUGAAUUGAAUCUAUAGAAUGUUUGGGGUACUAUGAAUAUUUUAAUAAUAUUGAUUUUUCUAAUCCAUGAACAUGAAAUAUCUUUCCAUUUUUUGGUGUCCUAUUCAAUUUCUUUCAUCAGUGUUUUGUGAUGUUAAUUCCUAGGUAUUUAAUUUUAUUUGUCACUAUUUUAAGUAGGAUUUCAUUUUCAGAUUGUUUACUGUUGGUACAUAGAAGUACUACUGAUUUUUAUAUGUUGAUUCUUAUCCUGCAACUUUAUUGAAUUUGUUUAUCAGUUCUAAUAAUUCUUUUGCAAGUCCUUAGGUUUGUCCAAAUAUAACAUCAUAACAGCUGAAAACAAGGAUAAUUUGACUUAAUUCCAAUUUGGAUGGCCUUUAUUCCUUUUUCUUGGCUUACUGCUCUAGCUAAGACUUCCAGUACUAUGUUGAAUAACAGUGGUGGAAGUGGACAUCCUUGCUGUGUUCCAGAUCUUGGAGGAAAGGCUUUCAGUUUUUCCCCCUUCCAUAUGUAACUAGCUGUGGCUCUGUCAUAAUGACUCUCAUUUUAUUUAUACAUAUUAUAUUCCUUCUAUACCCAGAUUUGAAAAAAGGUUUUUGUCAUGAAGGGAUGUUGAAAGUGAUCAAAUGCUUUUCCAGUAUCAAUUAAAAUGAUCUUAUGGUUUUGUUCUUCAUUCUGUUGGCAUGAUGUAUCCCAAUGAUUGAUUUGCAUAUGUUGAACCAUUCUUGCAUCUUUAGGAUAAAUCCCACUUGGUGAUUAUGAAUGAUCUUUUUAAUGUAUUUUGUUAAAUUCAGUUUGCUAAUAUUUUGUUGAGAAUUUUGCAUCAAUAUUUAUCAGAGAUAUUUCCGUGUAGUUUUCUUUUUUUUUUGGUGUGUCUUUGAUUAUGGUAUCAGGGUAAUACUGGCCUCAUAGGAUGAGUUUAGAAGUAUUCCCUAUUUUUGGAAAUAAUUUGAGUAGGAUUGGUAUUAGGUCUUUAUAUGUUUGAUAGAAUUCAGCAAUGAAGCCAUCAGAUCUAGGCUUUUCUUUACUGGAGUUUUUUUUUAUUAUGGCUUCCAUCUCAUUACUUGCUAUUGGUCUGUUUGGGUUUUAGAUUUCUUCAUGGUUCAAUCUGAGUAGGUUGUAUGGGUUUAGGAAUUUGUCCAUUUCUUCUAGAAAUUCCAAUUCAUUGGGAUAUUGUUACUCAGAGCAGCCACUGAUGGUCCUUUGAAAUUCUGUGGUAUUGGUUGUAAUGUCUCCUUUCUCAUCUCUAAUUUUAUUUAUUUGGAUCUUCUCUCUUUUUUUGUUAGCUAGUCUAGCUAAAAAUUUGUCAAUUUUGUUUCAUUUUUUAAAAGUUCAACUUUUAGUUUUAUUUAGCCUUUUUGUAUUGUGUUUCAUUUCCAUUUUACUUAUUUCUACUCUGAUCUUUAUUAUUGCUUUUAUCUACUUUAUCUACUUUUAUCCACUUUAUUAUUGCUAUUAUCUACUGAUUUGGGGUUUGGCUUGCUCUGCCUUUUCUAGUAAGAAGAUGCAUCAUUUGGCUGUUUAUUUGAACUGUUUCCUCUUUGUUGAUGCAGGUACUUACAGCUAUAAACUUCCCAUUUAGUAUUGCUUUUGUUGUAUCUUACAGGUUUUGGCAUGUUGGAUUUCCAUCAUUAUUUGUGUCAAGAAAUUGUUCAAUUUCCUUCUGAGUUUCUUCAUUGACCCACUAGUCAUUCAGGAGAUACUCCUGAAUGUUUAAUUUCCAUGUAUUUGUAUACUUUCCAAAAUUCCUCUUGUUCUUGAUUUCUAGUUUUAUUGCACUGUGGUCAGAGAAGAUGCUAGAUAUAAUUUUAAUUUUUUUACUGUUUUAAGACUUGUUUUAUAAGAUAACAUAUGAUCUGAUAGCAAGAUCCAAGAUGGCCAAAUAGGAACAGCUCUGGGUUGCAGUUCCCAGCAAAAACGCAGAGGGUGAGUGAUCACUGCAUUUCCAAAUGAAUUUUUAUGGCCCAAAGACCAGGAGAUUCCCUGGUGGAAAAGCCACGAGUCUCCAGCAUGGCUGUUUCAGCCAUCGCAGUGGGUCUCCACACAAAAAGUCACACAAAUCUGGGCACCAUUUCAACUGGCGCCUGGAACACCUGGGAGACAGAGUCACCUGUUCAACUGAAAAAAAAAGGGGGCUGAAACAGGGAGCCAGGUGAUCUGGCUUGGCCAGUCCCACCUCCACAAAGACCAGCAAUCUGAAACGCUCUGGACUGAGAGUUUCACAGCAAGCACAGCUGGACCCAGGAUUGUCCAGCUCUGUGUGGGGAAGAGCGUCUGAUAUUACCAAGGCAGUCCACCACUACUGAGGCAGUCCAUCACUACCAAGGCAGUCCACCAUUACCGAGGCAGUCUGCCAUUACUGAGGCAGACUGCCAUUACCAACACAGUUCUAACUAUAUCUCUAUAAACAAAACUGCAAGGAAGUUCACACAGCAGCUGGGCAGAGUCCACCGCAGCUCAGCAAUGCCUCUGCUGGCAGACUGUGACUAGGCUACCUCCUCACUGGCCAGGGCAUCCCUGAAAAAAGACAGCAGCUCAUCAAGAACUUAUAAAUAAAGCCCCAUAUUCCCAGAACAGAGCACCUGGGAUAAAAAGGCAUUUAUGAGUUCCACUGCAGCAAACUUAAACGUACCUGCUCCUAUAAGGGACAGGCUGUCUCCUCAAGCAGCUCCCCAAACCCCAUAUAUCCAAAGAGACACCUCCUAAAGGAAAGCUCAGGCUGACAUCUGGAGGGUAUCCUUCUGGGACAAAGAUAACAGAAGAAGAAACUGGCAGCAACCCUUACUGCUCUGCAGCCACUGCAGGCGAUCCCCAGGCAAGCAGGGUCUGGAGUGGACCUCCAACAGUCCUACAGCAGAGGCGGCUGACUGUUAGAAGGAAAACUAAAAAGCAGGAAGAAAUAACUUCAACAUCACUCAGAGACCCCAUCUGAAAGUCACCAACUACAAAGACCACAAGUAGAUAAACCCACAAAGAUAGGAAGAAACCAGUGCAAAAAGGAUGAAAACAUCCAAAACCAGAAUGCGUCUCCUCCUCCAAGGGAUCACAACUCCUCACCAGCAAGGGAACAAGGCUGGACAGAGAAUGAGUCUGAUGAAUUGACAGAAACAGGCUUCAGAAGGUGGGUAGUAACACACUUCACUGAGCUAAAAGAACAUAUUCUAACCCAAUGCAAAGAAACUAAGAACCUGAAAAAAGGUUUGAUGAAAUGCUAAUGAGAAUAAACAGCCUAGAGAGGAAUAUAAAUGAAUUGAUGGAGCUGAAAAAUAUAACAUGAGAACUUUGUGAAACAUACACAAGUUUCAAUAGCUGAAUCAUCCAAGCAGAAGAAAGGAUAUCAGAUAUUGAAGAUCAACUCAAUGAAAUAAAAUGAGAAGGCAAAAUUAGAGAAAAAAAGAGUAAAAAGAAAUGAACAAGGCCUCCAAGAAAUAUGGGAUUAGGUGAAAAGACCUAAUCCACGUUUGAUAGGUGUACCUUAAUGUGACAGAGAGAAUGAAUCCAAGCUGGAAAACACUCUUCAGGAUAUUAUCCAGGAGAACUUCCCCACCUAGCAAGGCAGACCAAUAUUCAAGUCCAGUAAAACAGAGAACACCACAAAGAUAUUCCUCAAGAAGAGCAACCCCAAGGUACAUAAUUGUCAGAUUCACAAGGGUUGAAAUUAAGGAGAAAAUGUUAAGGGCACCCAGAGAGAAAGGUCAGAUUACCCAAAAAGGGAAGCCCAUCAGACUCACAGCAGAUCUCUCAGCAAAAACCCUACAAGCCAGAAAAGAAUAGGGGUCAAUAUUCAACAACCUUAAAGAAAAGAACUUUCAACCUAGAAUUUCAUAACCAGCCAAACUAAGCUUCAUAAGCGAACCAGCAAUAAAAUCCUUUAUGAACAAGCAAUUACUCAGAGAUUUCAUCACCACCAGGCCUGCCUUACAAGAGCUCCUGAAAGAAGCAAUAAAUAUAGAAAGGAACAACCAGUACCAGCCACUCCAAAAAUGUACCAAAUGGUAAAGAGCAUCAACACAAUGAAGAAACUGUGUCAACUAAUGGGCAAAACAACCAGCUAGCAUCAAAAUGGCAGGAUGAAAUUCACACAUAAAAAUAUUAACCUUAAAUGUAAAUGGGAAAAAUGCCCCAAUCAAAAGAUACAGACUGGCAAAUUGGAUAAAAAGUCUAAACCCAUCAGUGUGCUGUGUCCAGGAAACCCAUCUCACAUACAAGGAUACACAUAGGCUCAAAAUAAAGGGAUGGAAUAAGAUUUACCAAGUAAAUGGAAAGCAAAAAAAUAAAAUAAAAUAAAAUCGGAGGAGUUGCAAUCCUAGUAUCUCAUAAAAUAGACUUUAAACCAACAAAGAUCAAAAGAGACAAAGAAGGGCAUUACAUAAUAGUAAAAGGAUCAAUGCAACAAGAAGAGCUAACAAUCCUAAAUAUAUAUGCACCUAAUACAGGAGCACCCAGAUACAUAAAGCAAGUUCUUAAUGACCUACAAAGAGUCUAAGUCUACAAAGAGACUUUCACACAGUAAAAGUGGGAGACUUUAACACUCCACUGUCAAUAUUAGACAGAUCAAUGAGACAGAAAAUUAACAGGGAUAUCCAGGACAUGAACUCAGAUCUGGACCAAGCAAACCUAAUAGACAUUUACAGAACUCCCCACCUCAAAUCCAUAGAAUAUACAUUCUUCUCAGCACCACAUUACACCUACACUAAAAUUGACCAGAUAAUUAGAAGUAAAUCACUCCUCAGCAAAUGCUAAAGAAUGAAAAUCAUAACAAAUAGUCUCUCAGACCACAGUGCAAUCAAAUUAGAACUCAGAAUUCAGAAACUAACUCAGAACGGCACAAUUUCACGGAAACUGAACAACUGGCUCUUGAAUGUUGACUGGAUAAACAAUGAAAUGAAGGCAGAAAUAAAGAUGUUCUUUGAAACCAACGAGAACAAAGACACAACAUACAAGAAUCUCUGGGACACAUUUAAAGCAGUGUCUAGAGGAAAAUUUAUAGCAAUAAAUGCCCACAUGAGAAGCAAGGAAAUAUAUAAAAUCGACACCCUAUUGUCAAAAUUCAAAGAGCUAGAGGAACAAGAUCAAAAACACUCAAAAGCUAGCAGAAGACAAGAAAUAACGAAGAACAGAGCAGAACUGAAGGAGAUAGAGAGGCAAAAAAAACCCCUUCAUAAAAUCAAUAAAUCCAGGAGCUGGUUUUUUGCAAAGAUCAACAAAAUAGACAGAUUGCUAGCCAAAUUAAUAAAAAAGAAAAGAGAGAAUAAUCAAAUAGAUGCAAUAAAAAAUGAUAAAGGGGAUAUCACCACAGAUUCCACAGAAAUACAAACCACCAUCAGAGAUUACUACAAACAACUAUGUACACAUAAACCAGUAAACCUGGAAGAAAUGGAUAAAUUCCUGGACACUUGCAUCCUUCCAAGCCUAAACCAGGAAGAAGUCGAAACCCUGAAUAGACCAAUAACAAGGUCUUGAGGCAGCAAUUAAUAGCCUACCAACCAAAAAAAGCCCAGGUCCAGAUAGGUUCACGGCCUAAUUCUACCAGACAUACAAAGAAGAGCUGGUAUCACUCCUUCUGAAAUGAUUCCAAACAAUACAAAAAGAGGGAAUCCUUCCCAAAUCAUUUAUGAGACCAACAUCAUCCUGCUAUCAAAAUCUGGCAGAGACUCAACAAAAACAGAAAACUUCAGGCCAAUAUCCAUGAUGAACAUAGAUGCAAAUAUUUUCAAUAAAAUACUGGCAAACCGAUUGCAACAGCAUAUCAAAAAGCUUAUCCAUCACGAUCAAGUAGGCCUCAUCCCAGGGAUGCAAGGCUGGUUUAACAUAUGCAAGUCUAUAAACGUAAUUCACCACAUAAACAGAACCAAAGACAAAAACCACAUGAUUAUCUCAAUAGAUACAGAGAAAGCCUUUGACAAAAUUCAACAGCCCUUUAUGCUAAAAACCCUCAAUAAAUUAGGUAUCAACAGAACGUAUCUCAAAAUAAUAAAAGCUAUUUAUGACAAACCAACAGCCAAUUUCAUACUGAAUGGGCAAAAACUGGAAGCGUUCCCUUUGAAAUCUGGCACUAGACAAGGAUGCCCUCUCUCACGCCUCCUAUUCAAUAUAGUACAGGAAGUUCUAGCCAGAGCAAUCAGGCAAGAAAAAGAAAUAAAGGGCAUUCAAUCAAUUAGGAAAGGAGGAAGUCAAAUUGUCUCUAUUUGCAGAUGACAUGAUUGUAUAUUUAGAAGACCCCAUUGUCUCAGCCCCAAAUCUCCUGAAACUGAUAAGCAACUUCAGCAAAGUUUCAGGAUACAAAAUCAAUGUGCAAAAAUCAAAAGAAUUCCUAUAUACCAAUAACAGACUUAAAGAAAGCCAAAUCAAGAAGGAACUGCCAUUCACAAUUGCUACAAAGAGAAUAAAAUACCUAGGAAUACAACUAACAAAGGAUGUAAAGGACCUCUUCAAGGAGAACUACAAACCACUACUCAAUGAAAUAAGAAAGGACACAAAUAGAUGGAAAAACAUUCCAUGAUCAUGAUUAGGAAGAAUCAAUAUUGUGAAAAUGGCCAUAAUGCUUGAAGUAAUUUAUAGAUUCAAUGCUAUCCCCAUCAAGCUACUUAUGACUCUCUUUACAGAACUGGAAAAAACCACCUUAAACUUCAUAUGGAACCAAAAGAGAGCCCACAUAGCCAUGUCAAUCCUAAGCAAAAAGAACAAAGCUGGAGGCAUCACACUACCUGACUUCAAACUAUACUACAAGGCUACAGUAAUCAAAACAGCAUGGUACUGUUACCAAAACAGAGAUAUAAACCAACGGAACAGAACAGAGGCCUCAGAGGCAGAGCCACACAUCUACAACCAUCUGAUCUUUGAAAAACCUGACAAAAACAAGCAAUGGGGAAAGGAUCCCCUGUUUAAUAAAUGGUGUUGGGAAAACUGGCUAGCCAUGUGCAGAAAGCAGAAACUGGACUCCUUCCUGACACCUUACACUAAAAUUAACUCCAGAUGGAUUAAAGACUUAAACCUAAGACCUAACAUCUUAAAAACCCUAGAAGAAAAGCUAGGCAAAACCAUUCAGGACAUGAGCAUAGGCAAGACUUCAUGUCUAAGACACCAAAAGCAUUGGCAACAAAAGCCAAAAUAGACAAAUGGGACCUAAUUAAACUCCAGAGCUUCUGUACAGCAAAAGAAACAAUCAUUAGAGUAAACCAGCAACCAACAGAAUGGGAAAAAAUUUUUGCAAUGUACCCAGAAUUUACAAAGAACUGAAACAGAUUUACAAGAAGAAAAAAAAACCCAUUCAAAAGUGGGUGAAGGAUAUGAACAGACACUUUUCAAAAGAAAACAUAUAUGAGGCCAACAAACAUGAAAAAAUGGUCGUCAUCACUGGUCAUCAGAGAAAUGCAAAUCAAAACUACAUUGAGAUACCAUCUCACACCAGUUAGAAUGGUGAUCAUUAAAAAUCUGGAGACAACAGAUGCUGUAGAGGAUGUGGAGAAAUAGCAACACUUUUACACUGUUUGUGGGAGUGUAAAUUAGUUCAACCAUUGUGGAAGACAGUGUGGUGAUUCCUCAAGGACCUCGAAAUAGAAAUUCCAUUUGACCCGGCAAUCCCAUCUAUAAUGGAAGGAUUAUAAAUCAUUCUAUUAGAAAGCUACAUGCACACAUAUGUUCACUGCAGCACUGUUUACAAUAGCAAAGACUUGGAACCAACCCAAAUGCCCACUGAUGAUAGACUGGACAGGGAAAAUGUGGUACAUAUAUACCAUGGAAUACUAUGCAGCCAUAAAAAAUGAUGAGUUUGUGUCCUUUGUAGGGACAUGGAUGAACCUGGAAACCAUCAUUCUCAGCAAACUGAAACAAGAACAGAAAAUCAAACACCACAUGUUCUCACUCAUAGGCAGGUGUUGAACAAUGAGAAGACAUGGACACAGGGAGAGGAGCAUCACACACUGAGGUCGGUUGGUGGAGACUAUGGGAGGGACAGGGGGUAGGGAGUUGGGGAGGGAUAACAUGGGGAGAAAUGCCAGAUAUAGAUGAUGGAUGGAGGCAGCAAACCACAUUGCCAUGUAUGUAUCUAUGCAACAAUCCUGCAUGUUCUUCACAUGUACCCCAGAACCUAAAGUGCAAUUAAAAAAAAAAAAAAAAAU